AAAGUUCAAUUUUGAAACAACUAUCUUGGCCUUCUCUUCUGUCUGCUAGACCAACACAUUGAUCUCCUAUUGGUAACCCCAACAAUCCUUCAUCUGUAUAUGCAAUUAUACGAUAGCUAGUUUUUUGGUUAUUUGCCUAUAUAAUUGAAAGAAUGUUGGGGCUGCCGAUGAAAUCAGUCUGUAGGUCCAGCCAUCACACAAGAGGGCCAAGGUAGUUGUUUCACAGUUGCACCUU
rfam:Brachypodium distachyon strain Bd21 chromosome 1, whole genome shotgun sequence.